UAGGGUGUACGAAGUUGGAAUGAUUAAUUUUUCGCAACAUUUUGUUUUGACUUUGACUGUGAAGUGUGAACUGUUCAUUUGAUUACAAAAUUUUGGAUUUCCGAGUCAUCGGUAUCGAAUUUUUGAAAGAAUUUUUAGCAAACCUCUCUCACUUCACACCAUAAUUCGUGGAUGGGAUAGAAUUAAAUGGAACGGAUUUCAGAGAUUUUUCUUCGAUUAUAUGUACAAUACAGCUUGUAUCACUUCAAAGAAUGAAACGUCUGCAUCAGCAUAUGAAAUUGAUUUAAUUCGAUUCGUCGUAAUAUUAUAAAACACAUCUUCAAUUGGAUUUAUUCCAACAUAUUCCUAAAUCUAUCCACAAUCCUCUUCUCUUAGAACGGAACCAAUUCGUAAAAUAAACGAAUUAUAGCAUUCUGGGAUAUUCGGGAGGCCCAAGUAGUCUUGAAACAAGCACAAAAUAUUUCAUUUCCUGAUAUCCAGCGAACAAAUUAGAACCAAUGAAUGAAAACUAGAAGCAUUUUCAGUACCUCUUUUUCAACACAUCCGCUAUCACGAUGACAUCUUUCUUCAAAGCCAAUUCAUCAGGAACAGUCUUUCAGUUUCAAUCUCUUCUAUCUGCAGUUUAAUCGAGGUACCUCUGGCUCGACUAUGACUCAAACGUUUCAAAAUUACUUUAACGAAUCGAAUCUUAGAAGAUUGCAUAGAAAGUCCAUGCAUAAAUCAGAUCAGCAGGUUUACAUUAUUAUUUUAUGAAUCAUUUAUGAUCAACUAAGAUUACUUUGGUAUUUUUCCCCCCUUGGAUUUUGGAAGGUUUUAAUGGAAUGAUUGCCAUUUCUUCGUGACAAACGUUGAUUAUUAGUUCGAUAGGUUGGUGUCGAUUUUGUGUAAUACUUUCCAGUUAUCAUAACGCAAUAUGCUUUCUUCACAGCUUCCAUUCAUAUCCCUUGAAUCAUAGACGAAAAUAUCAUUGAAAAUGAUGAAUGGUUUAGGAGCAAACUCAAUGAUUGGAAUGUCCAAGCUCUCCUCUUGAUGUACUCACCGAGGAAGGAAUGGUCUGUAAGUUAGGAAUCAUAAGAGUUGCUGAAAUUUUCUAUAAUUUUCAAAAGUUUGAACUUUUCAAACCAAACUUUAAAAA